rnacentral:other from 1 species
GGGACCCUGCCGUGCCCGUGAUGUGGUAUCGACGCUUUGACCCAACACCACCAACAUCGGGGCCACGACUUUGUCUGGAGGGCAGUCACAUGCCCACUCGCUUGAUGGGUGGCGCAAGCUACCCGGAUUCGGGCUUUCCAACAGGACGGCACCCACCUGCACUUGCAGGUUCAAAACCGGAGACGCACACGACACGGCGGGGUCCCC